AAAAUCCGUCGACUAAAAAUCGUGAGGGUUCAAGUCCCUCUAUCCCCAAGAAAAAG
rnacentral:tRNA from 1 species